ensembl:lncRNA
CGAUUUUCCUUCUUGCAGCGGUCCCCCACCUCUCCUCCCCUCCUCCACCGAAGCACACUCGCAGGUCUCUCGUUUGGCUUCAUUUAUAAGGCAGUCUGGUUGCGGGGUUUUAUGCUGCGCCCCCCCCCCCUUUCCUCUCUCCCUUUGAAUCUAGAUUGGUUUGUUUUGCAGUUAAAGCCUUCCCUUUGAUUUCUCUCCCCCCACUCCCUUUCUGCUGCGGGCAGGAGGCUCUUGCUUAGCUGGGGCUCGCAUUUCCUCUCUCUCCUUCGCAGCCAGAAGCUCCGGAGCAGGAGGAGCCGCAGCUUCGACUGAUCCCUGGAAAAUUACGAAAAAUAAAGAGCAGUUGCCAAGAUCAUAGAGGGCCAAGAAAUGAUCAUAACCCUGGAGAGUAUAAAUAUCCAUGGCGAAGUUGUGUGAGAACAGCAUUCGUUGCUACCAGCUGCGCUGAGACCUUACAAUUCAUUGCACCUAGUGAUAGCUGUCAUUUCCCUCCCUCCCUGUUGGUAUUUUUAAAAUAUAUAAUUUAUUUUCCACAAGCAAGUUUUUGACGAGUUUUAGCUUCUGGUGGACUUGCUGAUUUUGAGAGGGAAAUACCCGACAACAUUGUAAAGCCUCAAAUAUGUGCAUCGUGGCUAAAAAGACAAGGCUGCAUAUGCAAAAUAUACAGUGGGCAUAGUGCU